rnacentral:rRNA from 1 species
AUUGAACGCUGGCGGCAUGCCUUACACAUGCAAGUCGAACGGUAACAGGUCUUCGGAUGCUGACGAGUGGCGAACGGGUGAGUAAUACAUCGGAACGUGCCCGAUCGUGGGGGAUAGCGAGGCGAAAGCUUUGCUAAUACCGCAUACGAUCUACGUAUGAAAGCGGGGGAUCUUCGGACCUCGCGCGGACGGAGCGGCCGAUGGCAGAUUAGGUAGUUGGUGGGAUAAAAGCUUACCAAGCCGACGAUCUGUAGCUGGUCUGAGAGGAUGAUCAGCCACACUGGGACUGAGACACGGCCCAGACUCCUACGGGAGGCAGCAGUGGGGAAUUUUGGACAAUGGGCGAAAGCCUGAUCCAGCCAUGCCGCGUGCAGGAUGAAGGCCUUUGGGUUGUAAACUGCUUUUGUACGGAACGAAAAGCCUCUUUCUAAUAAAGAGGGGUCAUGACGGUACCGUAAGAAUAAGCACCGGCUAACUACGUG